rnacentral:rRNA from 1 species
UGGGGAUAUUGGUCAAUGGGGGCAACCCUGAACCAGCGACGCCGCGUGAGGGAAGAAGGUCUUCGGAUUGUAAACCUCUGUCUUCGGUGACGAUAAUGACGGUAGCCGAGGAGGAAGCCACGGCUAACUACGUGCCAGCAGCCGCGGUAAUACGUAGGUUGCAAGCGUUGUCCGGAUUUACUGGGCGUAAAGGGCGUGUAGGCGGAGAUGCAAGUUGGGAGUGAAAUCUAUGGGCUCAACCCAUAAACUGCUUCCAAAACUGUAUCCCUUGAGUAUCGGAGAGGCAAGCGGAAUUCCUAGUGUAGCGGUGAAAUGCGUAGAUAUUAGGAGGAACACCAGUGGCGAAGGCGGCUUGCUGGACGACAACUGACGCUGAGGCGCGAAAGCGUGGGGAGCAAACAGGAUUAGAUACCCUGGUAGU